rnacentral:rRNA from 1 species
ACGGGGAGCACCACAACAGGUGGAGCCUGCGGUUUAAUCGGACUCAACGCCGGAAACUCACCAGAUAAGACAGCUGAAUGAUAGUCGGGCUGAAGACUCUACUUGACUAGCUGAGAGGAGGUGCAUGGCCGUCGUCAGUUCGUACUGUGAAGCAUCCUGUUAAGUCAGGCAACGAGCGAGACCCACGCCAACAGUUGCCAGCUCGUCCUCCGGGAUGGUGGGGACACUGUUGGGACCGCCUCUGCUAAAGAGGAGGAAGGAAUGGGCAACGGUAGGUCAGCAUGCCCCGAAUUAUCUGGGCUACACGCGGGCUACAAUGGGUGGGACAAUGGGUAUCGACACCGAAAGGUGAAGGCAAUCUCCUAAACCCAUCCGUAGUUCGGAUUGUGGGCUGCAACUCGCCCACAUGAAGCUGGAAUCUGUAGUAAUCGUGUCUCAAAAUGGCACGGUGAAUAUGUCCCUGCUCCUU